rnacentral:antisense_RNA from 1 species
CUUCACGGAGCCGAGCAGCAGCGGCCGGUCCUCGUGGUGGUCGCGGCCGUACGUGGCCAGCAGGGCCUGGGCUUC